UACAGAGGUCUCAAGCGUUGUUCGGAUUCAUUGGGCGUAAAGGGUGUGUAGGUGGCGCGCUAAGUCGGGUGUGAAAUUUCGGAGCUUAACUCCGAAACUGCAUUCGAUACUGGCGUGCUUGAGGACUGGAGAGGAGACUGGAAUUCAUGGUGUAGCAGUGAAAUGCGCAGAUAUCAGGAGGAACACCGGUGGCGAAGGCGGGUCUCUGGGCCGUAACUGGACGCCUGGAGGAGCGAAAGCAUGGGGAGCGAACAGGAUAGAU
rnacentral:rRNA from 1 species